ACCUGACUUCAAAACAGAGCAAGCAGACUUGAUCUCACCAUGCCUUGGCUGUCCUGGGGAUCGAAAUUGCACUGAGCCCAGAAUAAAUGUGCAUGGAAAUUGCACAUUUUAAACUGAUGGCUGCACAAGAUCAGAAACCGUGGCAAUGCUGACACUUUUGGCCUGGAACUUGGCAGGGCUGUGAAAGAAUGUGGAGCUGUUGUUGCAAACAGCUCAUUUUGUGACUUGAAAGGGAAGGGCUUGUAGUUUCCGACGUACCACUUCUGCAGAUCAGUGACAAGGAGGAGACUUUGGUAUCAGUCCACUAGCAUAUCUCUUGCAAGCUGAGAGAAGUGAAUAUAAAGCACUGUAAUCGUUUUCACAGCCUCCAGGAUUCAUAAGACACCAUAAGAAGAAGUUUCUCAAGCUUAAAAUGUUCUAUAAGAUACUAAAUCUUACGUCUCCUGGAGGCCACUGGGGAAAUGAAAAGGCUUUGGUUUCUAUGAAGAAGAAAGAGACUAUCUAAGAUAGGACCUCUGAAGAAGGAGCAAAACCCAGGGAGGACAUGCUAAUGCUAAACAAAGCUGGGAGGAGAAUAUCCAUCAUUUCCAGAUGUGGACAUAUGAUCCAGGAGGCAAUUGAAGGUUACCAGAAAACGUUGUAAUGUUGAUACUACUUGGGAAGGCUUUGACUGUCCAGCAUCCGUACUGACAGCAUUAAUUAAAGAAAUUCUGAGCCAGUAAAACAGGACAGGUGGCAGCGAUACAAACGGGAUGUCAUCCAGUAGCAGCUUGUGCGGACCAAAUCAUGGACCCCUCCCAGAGGCUUGGGGCAAGAAGAGGCUUUCAAACCUUCUCCAUGGAUCUGAAAGGCCUGCUUAGUAGCAGCCUGAAUGAAACCCCUUCUUCAAGCAGCCAGUGUUAGCUGCAGAGGAGUGGAACUGCGCUCUUGGCCCAUUCAGGGGCAGACUGUGAUUUUAUUCAGUCAAUAACCCCACAAAAUUAAAGGGUAAUGUUUAUGCCACGUCCUGAUUACUGAUACCAUUCAUAUCAAGUAUUAUUUUAACUUCAUUAAAUUAAAAAACAUAAAGUAAUUUUAUUCUAAAAGUGAUCUGAAAAAUAAAUACAUUUUUCUCAGUAACUCCAGUGUAGCCAAAAUGGACUAAUAGUUAAGGAAAACAGCUAUGCAAAGUUUUUUUUUUUUUUUUGUGUCAUCUUUUCACAUUUGUGUGAAGGUCUUAGUUUUAGUUUUAUUUCUGUUGGGUCAGCCAUCUGUGCAUUUUAUUGCCUGUUCUGUGGAACUUUGCAAUGUCUUAGUGAAGAGCAGUAGGUAAGCACUGAGGACAAAAAUGAGUAGAUAUAAAUGCCAGAGAAGAGAAGAGAAGAGAAGAGAAGAGAAGAGAAGAGAAGAGAAGAGAAGAGAAGAGAAGAGAAGAGAAGAGAAGAGAAGAGAAGAGAAGAGAAGAGAAGAGAAGAGAAGAGAAGAGAAGAGAAGAGAAGAGAAGAGAAGAGAAGAGAAGAGAAGAGAAGAGAAGAGAAGAGACACAAGAAGUAAUUUCUCCAUUUCUUUUUCCUGAUAUUGAGCUGAACUGAGGAAAUUGCUUUAAGUACAUAAAGUGAUACAAUUACUACAGUUGGGUCUUUGUUUAAUUUUCAAAUAGACAGUUUAGUACACUGAAUUCAGAGGUUAUUAGUUAUGGACUUUCCAGCCCUUCUCCUCGAGGUCAUUAAGUUCAAUAUUAUCCCAGGUUGGAUUUCUGAAUAUCCAUUGUGAACAAUUUAUCUAAUAAAUUCAUACCUUCUAAUAAAUUCAUACUUUUUUUUUUUUCUCCUUGUGACUUACCUAUUGACAAAUUGAAAUUUUUACAAAUAUGAUCACCAUUCAAAAGUACUUGGCAUGUGUUUUGUGUGGUCUGACUUCAGCUUGUGGACUAAUGACAGACUAUCCACCAUGACUGUUGCUUUAAGUAUUUCCUAUUCAUGAUGCCUGAUUAAGAUGCAUAGCUACAUUUCUGUCUUUAUUGGAUGACACCCAUAUUGCAAAGAGCUUUCAACUGACCUCCUAAACCUUUUGGUGAAAAUAUAUAUGCAUGAGCAUCCA